rnacentral:rRNA from 1 species
GGACGGGUGCGUAACGCGUGGGAAUGUACCUAUUGGUUCGGAACAACUGAGGGAAACUUCAGCUAAUACCGAAUGAGCCCGUAAGGGGAAAGAUUUCUCGCCAAUAGAUCAGCCCGCGUCCGAUUAGCUAGUUGGUGGGGUUAUGGCCUACCAAGGCGACGAUCGGUAGCUGUUCUGAGAGGAAGAUCAGCCACACUGGGACUGAGACACGGCCCAGACUCCUACGGGAGGCAGCAGUUGGGAAUCUUGGACAAUGGGGGAAACCCUGAUCCAGCCAUGCCGCGUGAGUGAUGAAGGCCUUCGGGUUGUAAAACUCUUUCGACGGGGACGAUAAUGACGGUACCCGUAGAAGAAGCUCCGGCUAACUUCGUGCCAGCAGCCGCG